AAAGUAUCGCGCGUAUAAGUGCGAAAGUAAUAUUUUUUAUAGAAGUGCGGGAGUGUCGUUUAAAAUAUCGCGAGUGUAAAUCAACCUGAGAGAAGGAGGAGGCCUAGGAGAGGCAUCGGACAUCAGUGGAGUUGCCCUGUGAUCAACUUAACGACCCCUUAACAUUCCGAGAGGAGGCGGCGGCCUAGGAGAGGCAUCCUGCACCGGCGGAGCAACCCAAGGACAACGUAGCCUCAAGACCAAAUCUCCGCUGUUGCGCAUCAGUGCCGGUGAGUGAUAAAUUUUAUUUUAUUUUGAGGUGACGGAUCCGUAGAUAUUGCAAAUGUAGAUUGUAGAUUGUAAAUAUCCGUUGUCUCAAAAUGGAUGGACUAGAAUAGAUGAAAUGAAAUAAGUUUCAAUAGACUUUUUAAAUAUACUUUA